GAAAAUGGAAGGCCGGAGGAGGAGAUUGCGGCGGCGGGCGCGCGGGGACGGCGGCCGGAAAUCGCGGCGGCGGCGCGAGGGUUUCCUUCCGGGGAAGAAGCCCCUGACAGGUGGGCCCCACCUGUCAGCGGGUGCGGGCGCGCGCGGGCGGCCGGGUGGGCCGGGCCGGUCGGGCGCGGUCGGACUGGGCCGGUUCGGCCCAUUUUGGCCGGGCCGGUCCGGUUUCUAUUUUUUUUUCUUUUAGCCCUUUUCUUUUUCUGCUUUUCCCAUUUCUUUGAUAUCUUUUGAGUUUGAACUCCAAAUUGGUCCAAAUAAAAUCCAGAAAAUUUGUAAAAUCAUGUCCUACCAUGAUACAACUUUUGGGAGUAGAUUCCCCUCAAAAUAAAAUAUAUAAAAAUACAUUUGCCCUAUAAAUGCCUUUAGGGCUAUAUAUCUGUUUGAAUAAAGUACUUUUUCAACUCCAAAUAAUUAACCAAAAAUUAUGGGAUAGCUUAUAUCUGCAUUAAGCCCUUUUUAUACAUCAACCCUAUCGGUUUGAAAAUCCAAAGGUUACAGGGGUGUAAACAAAAUCUCUUAAAGCCUUUUGUGGUUCAAAAUUUGAAUUCAAACAUGCAAUUGUGGCAUGAUGCUCAUGGAUGCAAUGCACAUGUAAAAGUUUGAAAUUUUGGGAUGUUAC
rnacentral:lncRNA from 1 species